rnacentral:rRNA from 1 species
GGACGAAAGUCUGACCCAGCGACGCCGCGUGAGGGAUGAAGGCCUUCGGGUUGUAAACCUCUUUCAGUAGGGAAGAAGCGAAAGUGACGGUACCUAAAGAAGAAGCACCGGCUAACUAUGUGCCAGCAGCCGCGGUAAUACAUAGGGUGCAAGCGUUGUCCGGAAUUAUUGGGCGUAAAGAGCUCGUAGGUGGUUUGUUGCGUCGGGUGUGAAAUUCAGGGGCUCAACCCCUGACCUGCACUCGAUACGGGCAAGCUAGAGUUUGGUAGGGGAGACUGGAAUUCCUGGUGUAGCGGUGGAAUGCGCAGAUAUCAGGAGGAACACCAAUGGCGAAGGCAGGUCUCUGGGCCAAUACUGACACUGAGGAGCGAAAGCGCGGGGAGCGAACAGGAUUAGAUACCCUGGUAGUCCGCGCCGUAAACGAUGGGCGCUAGUUGUGGGGACCUUCCACGGUUUCCGCGACG